GGCCUACCAUGGUGGUAACGGGUAACGGGGUGUUAGGGCACGACACCGGAGAGGGAGCCUGAGAAACGGCUACCACAUCCAAGGAUGGCAGCAGGCGCGCAAAUUACCCAAUCCCGACACGGGGAGGUAGUGACAAUAAAUAACAAUACGGGGUUCUUUAGGAUCUCGUAAUUGGAAUGAGUACAAUUUAAAUCUCUUAACGAGGAGCAAUUGGAGGGCAAGUCUGGUGCCAGCAGCCGCGGUAAUUCCAGCUCCAAUAGCGUAUAUUAAAGUUGUUGCAGUUAAAAAGCUCGUAGUUGAAUUUCGGGGUUAGUAAGUUGGUCAUGCCUUUGGUAUGCACUGGCUUUACUGAUUCCUCCUUCUUGACGAACCAUGAUGUCAUUAAUUUGGUGUUGCGGGAAAUCAGGACUGUUACUUUGAAAAAAUUAGAGUGUUUAAAGCAGGCUAACGCUUGAAUACAUUAGCAUGGAAUAAUGAAAUAGGACGUUAAUCCUAUUUUGUUGGUUUCUAGGAUCGACGUAAUGAUUAAUAGGGAUAGUUGGGGGCAUUAGUAUUCAAUUGUCAGAGGUGAAAUUCUUGGAUUUAUUGAAGACUAACUACUGCGAAAGCAUUUGCCAAGGAUGUUUUCAUUAAUCAAGAACGAAAGUUAGGGGAUCGAAGACGAUCAGAUACCGUCGUAGUCUUAACCAUAAACUAUGCCGACUAGGGAUCGGAUGAUGUUAAUUCUUUAAUGACUCAUUCGGCGCCUUACG
rnacentral:rRNA from 1 species